GGGUGUGUAGCUCAAGUGAUAGAGUGCAUGCUUAGCAUGCACGAGGUCCUAGGUUCAAUCCCCAGUACCUCUU
rnacentral:tRNA from 1 species